AAUGAACGCUGGCGGCGUGCUUAACACAUGCAAGUCGCACGAGAACGCUUCAGCUUGCUGAAGCUAGUAAAGUGGCGUACGGGUGAGUAACGCGUGGGUAAUCUAUCUCUGAAUUGGGGAUAACAUUGCGAAAGCGAUGCUAAUACCGGAUAAAAUCCAAUAAACCUCGGUUUUUUUGGAUCAAAGGUGGCCUCUACAUGUAAGCUACUGUUUGGAGACGAGCUCGCGUACCAUUAGCUUGUUGGUAGGGUAAUGGCCUACCAAGGCAACGAUGGUUAGCUGGUCUGAGAGGAUGAUCAGCCACACUGGAACUGACACACGGUCCAGACUCCUACGGGAGGCAGCAGUGAGGAAUUUUGCGCAAUGGGGGAAACCCUGACGCAGCAACGCCGCGUGAGUGAUGAAGGCUUUCGGGUCGUAAAGCUCUGUCAAGUGGGAAGAACCCGUGCCGUACAAAUAGUGCGGUGCGCUGACGGUACCACUGAAGGAAGCACCGGCUAACUCCGUGCCAGCAGCCGCGGUAAUACGGGGGGUGCAAGCGUUAUUCGGAAUCAUUGGGCAUAAAGAGCGCGUAGGCGGUCUUCUAAGUCAGGUGUGCAAAGCCCGGGGCUCAACUCCCGGAAGUGCAUUUGAAACCGGGAGAC
rnacentral:rRNA from 1 species